rnacentral:rRNA from 1 species
CUACGUGCCAGCAGCCGCGGUAAUACGGAAGGUCCAGGCGUUAUCCGGAUUUAUUGGGUUUAAGGGGAGCGUAGGCUGGAGAUUAAGUGUGUUGUGAAAUGUAGACGCUCAACGUCUGAAUUGCAGCGCAUACUGGUUUCCUUGAGUACGCACAACGUUGGCGGAAUUCGUCGUGUAGCGGUGAAAUGCUUAGAUAUGACGAAGAACUCCGAUUGCGAAGGCAGCUGACGGGAGCGCAACUGACGCUUAAGCUCGAAGGUGCGGGUAUCAAACAGGAUUAGAUACCCUGGUAGUCCGCACAGUAAACGAUGGAUGCCCGCUGUUGGUACCUGGUAUCAGCGGCUAAGCGAAAGCAUUAAGCAUCCCACCUGGGGAGUACGCCGGCAACGGUGAAACUCAAAGGAAUUGACGGGGGCCCGCACAAGCGGAGGAACAUGUGGUUUAAUUCGAUGAUACGCGAGGAACCUUACCCGGGCUUGAAUUGCAGAGGAAGGAUUUAGAGAUA